CAUGCACCAAUGGGGUCCCUCAGCUUGGCCUGUGGGAUCAGGAAAAAACUGACUCGCUGACAUCCCCCAAGGGGUCCCAGAUUGUGAGAGGGCGCAGGCCAGGCUGAGGGACCCCACUGGUGCACG
rnacentral:pre_miRNA from 1 species